ACAGCAGUAGCCGCGGUAAUACGUAGGGUGCAAGCGUUAAUCGGAAUUACUGGGCGUAAAGCGUGCGCAGGCGGUUUGUUAAGACAGAUGUGAAAUCCCCGGGCUUAACCUGGGAACUGCAUUUGUGACUGGCAAGCUAGAGUAUGGCAGAGGGGGGUGGAAUUCCGCGUGUAGCAGUGAAAUGCGUAGAUAUGCGGAGGAACACCGAUGGCGAAGGCAGCCCCCUGGGCCAAUACUGACGCUCAUGCACGAAAGCGUGGGGAGCAAACAGGAUUAGAUACCCCUGUAGUCCCUGUCUCUUAUAC
rnacentral:rRNA from 1 species